rnacentral:rRNA from 1 species
GACCUCGGAUCAGGUAGGGAUACCCGCUGAACUUAAGCAUAUCAAUAAGCGGAGGAAAAGAAACCAACAGGGAUUGCCUCAGUAACGGCGAGUGAAGCGGCAACAGCUCAAAUUUGAAAUCUGGUCCUUCCGGGGCCCGAGUUGUAAUUUGUAGAGGAUGUUUCGGGCGCGGCGAACGGUCUAAGUCCCUUGGAACGGGGCGUCAUAGAGGGUGAGAAUCCCGUAUGUGAUCGGCGACUAAGCCCAUGUGAAACUCCUUCGACGAGUCGAGUUGUUUGGGAAUGCAGCUCAAAAUGGGUGGUAAAUUUCAUCUAAAGCUAAAUACCGGCCAGAGACCGAUAGCGCACAAGUAGAGUGAUCGAAAGAGAGAGUCAAAAAGUACGUGAAAUUGUUGAAAGGGAAGCGCUUGCAACCAGACCUGCCCGCGGGCGAUCAACCGUCCCUCCGGGGGCGGUGCACUCGCCCGCGAUCAGGCCAGCAUCGGUUCGGGCGGCCGGAUAAAGGCCUCGGGAAUGUGGCUCCUUUCGGGGAGUGUUAUAGCCCUUGGUGCAAUGCGGCCAGCCUGGACCGAGGACCGCGCUUCGGCUAGGAUGCUGGCGUAAUGGUUGUAAGCGGCCCGUCUUGAAACACGGACCAAGGAGUCUAACAUCUAUGCGAGUGUUUGGGUGUCAAACCCAUACGCGGAAUGAAAGUGAACGGAGGUGGGAACCCGUUCGGGCGCACCAUCGACCGAUCCAGAUGUCUUCGGAUGGAUUUGAGUACGAGCAUAGCUGUUGGGACCCGAAAGAUGGUGAACUAUGCCAGAAUAGGGUGAAGCCAGAGGAAACUCUGGUGGAGGCUCGCAGCGGUUCUGACGUGCAAAUCGAUCGUCAAAUUUUGGCAUAGGGGCGAAAGUGAGUUUGAACAUCUUUUGUGCACAGGCGGAUCAUUUACUAAUAGUUUCCCAGGACUAAUCGAACCAUUGGAUUUUGGUGGCUUAUUGGGGUGCCGGGCGCCCCCAGUUCAG